ensembl:snoRNA
GGCCUCAUUCUUAACGAGAAGGGAGCUGUUGGUCACAGUGUCCAGAAAUUGCUAAUGGGGUUAAAUUGGAUACAAGUUAUACUUACAGUAAAUUUGUUGCAAUGGUGACAAUGAGUCCAGUAACAUUU